GCUGGGUGCGGUGGCCCACGCCUGUCAUCCCAGCGGCUCUGGAGGCUGAGGCAGGAGGAUCGCAAGGUGGAGGCCAGCCUCAGCCCUCAGCAACUCAGAGAGACCCUGUCUCUA
rnacentral:sRNA from 1 species